GACGAACGCUGGCGGCGUGCUUAACACAUGCAAGUCGAACGGAAAGGCCCUGCUUUUGUGGGGUGCUCGAGUGGCGAACGGGUGAGUAACACGUGAGUAACCUGCCCUUGACUUUGGGAUAACUUCAGGAAACUGGGGCUAAUACCGGAUAGGAGCUCCUGCUGCAUGGUGGGGGUUGGAAAGUUUCGGCGGUUGGGGAUGGACUCGCGGCUUAUCAGCUUGUUGGUGGGGUAGUGGCUUACCAAGGCUUUGACGGGUAGCCGGCCUGAGAGGGUGACCGGCCACAUUGGGACUGGGAGACGGCCCAGACUCCUACGGGAGGCAGCAGUGGGGAAUAUUGCACAAUGGGCGGAAGCCGGAGGCAGCAACGCCGCGUGCGGGAUGACGGCCUUCGGGUUGUAAACCGCUUUCGCCUGUGACGAAGCGUGAGGGACGGGAAUGGGGAAAGAAGCACCGGCUAACUACGU
rnacentral:rRNA from 1 species